AAUAUGAUAGAAAUAAUGUUCAGAAUUACCAUAAAUAAUAUACAUUAAAUGUAUUAAUUACUUCCACCUUUUUAUCAGAAUUGCCUAACUUUCAAGCCAUCCUCCAACUAAGAUAUGCUAACUGUAUAACAGUAUAAUAAGUAAUAAAGUAUUUCAUUUAUUUACAAGUAUUUCAUGGGUAUCUUUGACCAUAAUAUAAACAAAAGCCUGAAUGAAAUAUGAGGAUUUGUGACAUAUAAAUGUGCACAUGUGAUAAAUAUAUUUUUCCAUUCAGCCGCAUUAUUCAAUCCAUAGGCCACAGAAAAUAUGCCCUAUGAGGCUGGAUGUCUGGACACAGUAUUGUUCAAACAAGGCUUUUAUCAUGAGAACUUCUGAAAGAGGUAUGUUUCAGAAUUCUUAUAAGACAACAAAUAGACCCCUUUUGUUCCAAAGAAAAAGAAAAUAUAAUCUUGUAAAGGUCUGCAUGCACUAGUAGCUCUGGGGAUCGCAGCCUGUUAUAAUUGGAUCAUUUAGAAUAGAAUAGAAUAGAAUUUUUUAUUGGCCAAUUGUGAUUGGACGCACAAGGAAUUUGUCUUGAUGCAUAUGCUCUCAGUUUACAUAAAAGAAAAGAUACCUUCAUCAAGGAGUCUUCUGAAGCUGUUUUGUGGACUUUAACAACCCCAAAUAUGUUUAACUGAGACCAUGAAUAAAGUUUUUCAGUAAAUGCAACCCAGCUUUGAAAAUCCCUUCCAGAGAUGAUACUCUCAACUUGUCUGAAAUUCAGCUCUCUGUAAGCUAGGAAGAUGAAAAUGAGGAUAGAUAUACUGGCAUCAUUCAGAUCUUGCAGAAUCCUGUCUUGCUCACAGAAGACACUCAGCUUUACCUAGAAAUAAAAAUAUAUAUGCACACAAGGUCAAAUCAAUAAAACAAAAUGAGAUUUUGCAAGGAUCAGAAAGAAGAAACCUUAUACUUACAUCAAUAUCGCUUUCUCCAAUUUUGAUGGGUUUUGCAUGUCGUUCUUUGAUUGUAUCACGCCCCGUCAUCUAAAAUAUAAAGUUUUAAAAGUAAAAAUCUGGAAGCCAUAAAAUGUUAAUAGCAAAAAAAAAAACCAUCCUUUUCUCUGCAAAAAAAUGUUUUUCUCCUUCUAGGAAUGAUUUGGCAUGUUUUUCUGGAUUUGCAAAAGACUUUUACAAGGUAUAUAUAUAUAUAUUUCCUUAUCAGUCCUGAUCCAAAUGUAUGUUAUGGGCAAAUGCUAGAUCUAAGUGGUUCCUUUAAAUUUGGUUGCAUUCAAUAUGGCAAAUUUUCAUAUCAUACAACUUGUAUUUACAAUAUGCACUUAUAUGCUCCAGGUUCUGUCUGUUAGGGAAUACCAACGGGUGGGGUUCAGGUAAUGAUCCUUUUCUGUGGUGGUACCCGUCCUUUGAAACAUCAUCUUCUCAGAGAUGAGAUUAGACAUGAUCUUAAAGACAUGGUUUUGUCACUAGGCUUUGCUAUCUGAAUGCGCAAUCGAACUUGUACAGUGAUUAUGUUGAGUGUUGUUGAGUGGUUUUAUACAUUAGUUAUGAAUUGUGUUUUUACAUAGUUCUAAUAUUGCUUUUAAUAAUCAUAUAUUUGAGAUGGGUAGUGAUACAAGUUGAAAUACGUUCUUAUUAUCAUUACAUUUUCCUGAGAAUUUAUUUGACUUACAGAAAAAUAAAAUCAUUGGCGAAGGGAUAACCAUAUUAUCAUGUAAUGUUAUUUUAUAUCAGUUUAUAAGCCAAGGGGCUUAUAAUAAAACUGGUGCCUCUGUUGGAAAUGCUUCUCAGUUCUUAAACACGUGCAGUCAGGCAAAACUUACCUGCAUUUUUCUAUACAGAAUACAGAUAUAGAUAUUAUACUAUUUUGCAGAGUAUUUCAUUCUGAUAAUUUUAAUGUUUUUUAUUUUAUUUUAAAACUGUAGCUAACAUUUUUUCCAUAACUCAAUUAAAAUUAUACAGAAUCACAUAAACUCAUUCAAGGAACUAACCAUCAUGUGGUAAACUUAUGACUGUAUGACUGUAACUUUGUUGCUGGCAAUCCUUAUGAUUUAUAUUGACCAUCAAUUGUGUUGUAAAUGUUGUAUCUUGAUGAACGUAUCUUUUCUUUUAUGUACACUGAGAGCAUAUGCACCAAGACAAAUUCCUUGUGUGUCCAAUCACACUUGGCCAAUAAAAAAUUCUAUUCUAUUCUAUUCUAUUCUAUUCUAUUCUAUUCUAUUCUAUUCUAUUCUAUUCUAUUCUAUUCUAUUCUAAACAAAGGAUUUUAAAAUUCUAUUCAUUCUUCAGAAAGCAGAAAAGAAAUACAUGAGUGGGAAGCUGGAAAAUCAUCAGUUCAAAAUUAAUCCCAUUCAUUAAUUACUAUCUGUGGAUUGCAGUGAUAUAGCUAAUAUAAUAAUGCUAAACUCACCUUAGAAGUCUGUUGAAACUACUGAGAUAAUGUAUGUAAAAUGCUUUGGACAUUCAGAAAUUGUUAUUUAAAUACUAGUAUUA